GUAGGGUCCAAGCGUUAAUCGGAAUUACUGGGCGUAAAGCGUGCGCAGGCGGUUGUGCAAGACCGAUGUGAAAUCCCCGGGCUUAACCUGGGAAUUGCAUUGGUGACUGCACGGCUAGAGUGUGCCAGAGGGGGGGUAGAAUUCCACGUGUAGCAGUGAAAUGCGUAGAGAUGUGGAGGAAUACCGAUGGCGAAGGCAGCCCCCUGGGAUAACACUGACGCUCAUGCACGAAAGCGUGGGGGGAGCAAACAGGAUUAGAUACCCUGGUAGUCCACGCCCCUAAACCGAUGUCAACUAGUUGUUGGGGUAUUCAUUUCCUUAGUAACGUGGCUAACGCGUGAAGUUGACCGCCUGGGAGUACGGUCGCAAGAUUA
rnacentral:rRNA from 1 species